UCUCUGGAGGACUAGUGGUUAGGCCUCGGCGCUCUAGCCACCGGAGCCCGGGUUCAAUUCCCAACCAGGGAA